rnacentral:rRNA from 1 species
UACGGAGGGUGCGAGCGUUGUCCGGAGUCAUUGGGCGUAAAGGGCGCGUAGGUGGCCCGGUGAGUCUUUGGUGAAAGCGCGGGGCUCAACCCUGCGUCGGCCAGGGAUACUGCCGCGGCUCGAGCACUGUAGAGGCAGGCGGAAUUCCGGGUGUAGCGGUGGAAUGCGUAGAGAUCCGGAAGAACACCGGUGGCGAAGGCGGCCUGCUGGGCAGUGGCUGACGCUGAGGCGCGACAGCGUGGGGAGC